UGGUGGGUCGUGCGGGGUUCGAACCUGCGACCAAUUGAUUAAGAGUCAACUGCUCUACCAACUGAGCUAACGACCC
rnacentral:tRNA from 1 species